CAGGAAUCUUUUUUUAAGCGUACAGUUGGCUGACCCUGAGUGAAUUCGCUGUUGAUAAUCUGCUUCUCCCUGAGCUGCUGUCGCCCACACUCGCCGCUGGCCGUGCUUGUUUUUCUCCUGGAACUGGGGCCGGUGUCCCUGUUGACCUUGUCCCGGGUAGCUGAGCCCAGGGGACUCUCCUUCCUAGGGUUACCGCUCAGUAUCAGCACAGCCACAACGUCCAGCCAGGGAGGGCAUCCGAGGCCCUCAGCACCCACCCCGGGGGUCCGGCCCGCGUCAGGCUGCGAGUUCCCGAGUCCCUGGACCCAGCUGUGCCUGCUGGGGUCAGCGCAGUCUGUGAGCCUCGACCCCCAGCUCCCAGCAAGGCCUCCCAGCAAGGCCUGUCGGAACCCAGCGGAGACCGGCGGCUGGGGCUUGUCCUCGAGCGGGGGCGCAGGACACGGGGCGCGGGGCUCCUGCCCUUGCAGCGUCCUGUCAGGAUGGACGACCCAAGCCAGACGGCGCUCCCUCCCGCCACACCUGGCCGUACUGGCCUCCAGCCAUGCCGGUGCUGCCGAGGCCCCCGUGUGGGACAGGCCCCCGCUCCCGCCCGUCCUCCUGGCUGCAUCUGCACCCGCCCGUACCCGCACCGGGCCUCACUGGCCCCUUCUCAGACCGGCACAGCCAGGCGGAAUCACUUUUCCCAUCUUUACUCCCCACCGUGACCUCCUGCUGCUCACAGUCCUCAGGGUCUCACCUGGGUUCUCUCUCCCUCAGUCUCAGGCGGAAUCACUUUUCCCGUUUUUGCUCCCCACCAUGACCUCCUGCUGCUCUCGGUCCUCAGGGUC
rnacentral:lncRNA from 10 species